rnacentral:rRNA from 1 species
CUGGUGGCGAGUGGCGAACGGGUGAGUAAUAUAUCGGAACAUACCCAGUAGUGGGGGAUAACUAUCCGAAAGGAUAGCUAAUACCGCAUACGAUCUGUGGAUGAAAGCAGGGGAUCUUCGGACCUUGUGCUAUUGGAAUGGCCGAUAUCUGAUUAGCUAGUUGGUAGGGUAAAAGCCUACCAAGGCGACGAUCAGUAGCUGGUCUGAGAGGACGACCAGCCACACUGGAACUGAGACACGGUCCAGACUCCUACGGGAGGCAGCAGUGGGGAAUUUUGGACAAUGGGGGCAACCCUGAUCCAGCAAUGCCGCGUGAGUGAAGAAGGCCCUCGGGUUGUAAAGCUCUUUUGUCAGGGAAGAAACGGAGUUCUCUAAUAUAGGAUUCUAAUGACGGUACCUGAAGAAUAAGCACCGGCUAACUACGUGCCAGCAGCCGCGGUAAUACGUAGGGUGCAAGCGUUAAUCGGAAUUACUGGGCGUAAAGCGUGCGCAGGCGGUUUUGUAAGUCUGAUGUGAAAUCCCCGGGCUCAACCUGGGAACUGCAUUGGAGACUGCAAGGCUAGAGUGUGUCAGAGGGGGGUAGAAUUCCACGUGUAGCAGUGAAAUGCGUAGAGAUGUGGAGGAAUACCGAUGGCGAAGGCA